rfam:Ruminococcus sp. CAG:60 genomic scaffold, scf320
AGUUAUGAUAGAGGCGCGGGCUUCAUCAGUAAUUCCGGCUGUGAGAUUCUGUAGAUUUGUGAAGCAUCAGAAUCCAGGCUGUCUGGCAGGCUGGCCGGGAAGAAAGGGAAUACCGCCGAAGGGUUUGUUUUCGCCAUGAGAAGAGAGCUCUGGGCUGACGCAGAAUAUGCGGCAGACUGUCACUGUUGUGGAGCGCUAUCGAAGGU